UUGGCUCAGGAUGAACGCUGGCGGCAGGCUUAACACAUGCAAGUCGAGGGGCAGCGCGUUGUAGCAAUACGAUGGCGGCGACCGGCGGAAGGGUGCGUAACGCGUGAGCAACAUGCCCGUCACUGAAGGAUAGGCACUGGAAACGGUGUGUAAUACUCCAUAACAUAUGUUUCUGCAUGGGAGCAUAUUGAAAGAUUGAUUGGUGACGGAUUGGCCCGCGAGACAUUAGGUAGACGGCGGGGUAACGGCCCACCGUGCCGACGAUGUCUAGGGGUUCUGAGAGGAAGGCCCCCCACACUGGAACUGAGACACGGUCCAGACUCCUACGGGAGGCAGCAGUGGGGAAUA
rnacentral:rRNA from 1 species